rnacentral:lncRNA from 1 species
AUGGGACGGGACAAGACAAACAGACGUCCGACUGCUACGCCAUCUUGGAAGAUACACGUCAUGCAUUUCAUUAGUACCCAACCAGGAGUCUCCUACAGAGCUCACAGUUCAUCACUGUCCUUUUCCUGGUGGGGAGAAGACCAGAAGAGGAUGAUAUCCUUCCUGUCUCCAAGUUCUGCCUCAAAAUGUGCUGGGGUGAGUUUUUCCAUAAUAAAUGAGAACCUUAGAUAUGGUAAUUUAGUAUUUCCUUCUCUCAUGAUCUAUCAAUGUCUCAAUGUUCACCCAAUGGCGUCCUUUUUAACUAAAUUAUUAUAUAUUCUGUGAUGAUAUCUGGGUGAAGAUGAGUCCUGUCUGAUAUAAUUAGAGGUCAAGACUGGACAAGGAGGUUGGAUAAACUCCUCUCUAUGAAGAUGAGUCCUGUCUGGUAUAAUUAGUGGUCAAGACUGGACAAGGAGGGUUGGAUAAACUCCUCUCUAUGAAGAUGAGUCCUGUCUGGUAUAAUUAGAGGUCAAGACUGGACAAGGAGGUUGGAUAAACUCCUCUCUAUGAAGAUGAGUCCUGUCUGGUAUAAUUAGUGGUCAAGACUGGACAAGGAGGGUUGGAUAAACUCCUCUCUAUGAAGAUGAGUCCUGUCUGGUAUAAUUAGAGGUCAAGACUGGACAAGGAGGGUUGGAUAAACUCCUCUCUAUGAAGAUGAGUCCUGUCUGGUAUAAUUAGAGGUCAAGACUGGACAAGGAGGGUUGGAUAAACUCCUCUCUAUGAAGAUGAGUCCUGUCUGGUAUAAUUAGAGGUCAAGACUGGACAAGGAGGGUUGGAUAAACUCCUCUCUAUGAAGAUGAGUCCAGUCUGGUAUAAUUAGAGGUCAAGACUGGACAAGGAGGGUUGGAUCAACUCCUCUCUAUGAAGAUGAGUCCUGUCUGGUAUAAUUAGAGGUCAAGGCUGGACAAGGAGGGUUGGAUAAACUCCUCUCUAUGAAGAUGAGUCCAGUCUGGUAUAAUUAGAGGUCAAGACUGGACAAGGAGGGUUGGAUCAACUCCUCUCUAUGAAGAUGAGUCCUGUCUGGUAUAAUUAGUGGUCCAGACUGGACAAGGAGGGUUGGAUAAACUCCUCUCUAUGAAGAUGAGUCCUGUCUGGUAUAAUUAGAGGUCCAGACUGGACAAGGAGGGUUGGAUCAACUCCUCUGUAUGUGGAACAGGUGUGACUAUUUAUCAUGUGUAACAAUCAAACCUCCCUAUUGGCUGUGUGUUCCACAUUCUAAAGUAGAACCAUCAUUUUACUUGCUGGAAUUUUGUCCAGAAAGGACCUCAUUGGACAGAAAGGGGAACUCCUCCCACACGCAUGUUGAACAGAUAUAAUGUUUCCCUGAAACAAAGGAUUCCUGUAGUUUAAUGAAAUAAGAAACUGAUUCAUAGUAUAUCAUACAUCAUACAAGCCAACGUUCAAUAGCAACACUGCUAUUGGUU